rnacentral:misc_RNA from 1 species
GUUUAUGCAAAUUGAAGAAGCCAUGGAAUGAGGAAGAUGUGAUCAGAAAAAGCAAUAUAGGAGAUAAUGGGACUAGGAAUGUGAUUAGAAAAAUCCUAAUCUUUCCUUCCUUCUAACUCUGGUGGUGGAGUAAUUGUACCCCAAUAGGAUCAUGAGAAGAGAGGGAGACUAGAGCAGAAAUGAUAUCCUACAAGUGAAAAUACAUAAACGGACCCGUUUGUUAUAAUGUGUCAGUCUUUGUUUGGACUUGUAAAAAUUCGUUAGGU